AUUAGCCACUGUGGGGACAGAAGACAGAGCGACACGGGAAUUGAGCUGCCAAUGGAGAGCGCGGGAGGGGCAGGGGGGACACUGAGUCCCAGUCCCCGAGACCAACCCAGAGAUCAGGGCUUGUGCGGACAGCAGCGCUGACCUCUGUCCCCAGCGACCCCGGUUUAGGACUCAGAUGAGACCCAGAAGGACCGUCACUGAGGUGCGAUGGGGAGGACACGGGCCGACUGUGCUCCUGGCGCUGCCUCUGGUGUGUCUGUGUCCCCUGCUCCUGGCUCUUCACCUGAAGUUCUCAGCAAAGACACUGCGGACAGUAACGUUGAAUGAAAUGCAAGUGCGGACCCUGAACGCCUUCCAAGAAGCUGAAGCCCGUGGCCACGGGCGGGACCAGACUCACUGGGAGCUGCGCCCUGACGGGGGCUGGUUCCUGAUGAGGGGCCGCAGUCUUCACCGCCGAGGCCCAGGGCUCCUAGCUGCCCGUCACCUUCUAUAAAUGUAGUAUCUUCUUGUUAUUUUCUCCUCCUUUCUGUCCUAGUCC